CCUACGGGUGGCAGCAGUGGGGAAUAUUGCGCAAUGGGCGAAAGCCUGACGCAGCGACGCCGCGUGAGGGAUGAAGGUCUUCGGAUCGUAAACCUCUGUCAGCAGGGAAGAACGGUCACUGUGCUAAUCAGCAGUGAAUUGACGGUACCUGCAAAGGAAGCACCGGCUAACUCCGUGCCAGCAGCCGCGGUAAUACGGAGGGUGCGAGCGUUAAUCGGAAUUACUGGGCGUAAAGCGCUCGUAGGCGGUAUGUCAAGUCAAGGGUGAAAUCCCCGCGCUCAACGUGGGAACUGCCUUUGAAACGGGCAAACUGGAGUGUGUGAGAGGAUAGUGGAAUGCCAGGUGUAGGAGUGAAAGCCGUAGAUAUCUGGAGGAACAUCAGUGGCGAAGGCGACUAUCUGGCACAUAACUGACGCUGAGGAGCGAAAGCGUGGGUAGCAAACAGGAUUAGAUACCCUAGUAGUC
rnacentral:rRNA from 1 species